rnacentral:rRNA from 1 species
UACGUAGGGGGCAAGCGUUGUCCGGAUUUAUUGGGCGUAAAGAGCGUGUAGGCGGCCAGGUAGGUCCGCUGUGAAAACUCGAGGCUCAACCUCGAGAUGUCGGCGGAAACCAUCUGGCUAGAGUCCGGAAGAGGAGAGUGGAAUUCCUGGUGUAGCGGUGAAAUGCGCAGAUAUCAGGAAGACCAGUGGCGAAGGCGGGUCUCUGGACAGUUCCUGACACUGAGACACGAAGGCCAGGGGAGCAAACGGG